GGGGACAUGGCGGAACUGGUAGACGCGCCAGACUUAAAAUCUGUUGGGCAUCGCCCGUCCGGGUUCGACCCCGGUGUCCCUACCA
rnacentral:tRNA from 1 species